UACGGGAGGCAGCAGUGGGGAAUAUUGCACAAUGGGCGGAAGCCUGAUGCAGCGACGCCGCGUGAGGGAUGACGGCCUUCGGGUUGUAAACCUCUUUCAGUAGGGAAGAAGCGAAAAGUGACGGUACCUGCAGAAGAAGCGCCGGCUAACUACGUGCCAGCAGCCGCGGUAAUACGUAGGGCGCAAGCGUUAUCCGGAUUUAUUGGGCGUAAAGAGCUCGUAGGCGGUUUGUCGCGUCUGCCGUGAAAGUCCGAGGCUCAACCUCGGAUCUGCGGUGGGUACGGGCAGACUAGAGUGAUGUAGGGGAGACUGGAAUUCCUGGUGUAGCGGUGAAAUGCGCAGAUAUCAGGAGGAACACCGAUGGCGAAGGCAGGUCUCUGGGCAUUUUACUGACGCUGAGGAGCGAAAGCAUGGGGAGCGAACAGGGAUUAGAUACC
rnacentral:rRNA from 1 species